rnacentral:rRNA from 1 species
GUUUGAUCAUGGCUCAGAACGAACGCUGGCGGCGUGCCUAACACAUGCAAGUCGCGCGAGAAAAGGGGGGCAACUCCCUGAGUAAAGCGGCGCACGGGUGAGUAACACGUAGGUAACCUACCCCCGAGUCCAGGAUAACCUGCCGAAAGGUGGGCUAAUACCGGAUAUGACCACGGGAGCCUCGGCUCCUGAGGUGAAAGGUGGCCUCUGCUUGCAAGCUACUGCUCGAGGAUGGGCCUGCGCGCCAUUAGCUAGUUGGUGGGGUAACGGCCCACCAAGGCGAUGAUGGCUAGCUGGUCUGAGAGGAUGGCCAGCCACACUGGGACUGAAACACGGCCCAGACUCCUACGGGAGGCAGCAGUGGGGGAUAUUGCGCAAUGGGCGAAAGCCUGACGCAGCGACGCCGCGUGGGUGAUGAAGGCCUUCGGGUCGUAAAGCCCUGUCGAGGGGAACGAAACGGCUCCGACCUAACACGUCGGGGCCCUGACGGUACCCCUAAAGGAAGCACCGGCUAACUCCGUGCCAGCAGCCGCGGUAAUACGGAGGGUGCAAGCGUUGUUCGGAAUCACUGGGCGUAAAGGGCGUGUAGGCGGCCGGCUAAGUCUGAUGUGAAAGCCCGGGGCUCACCCCCGGAAGGGCAUUGGAUACUGGCAGGCUCGAGUCCCGGAGAGGAGGGUGGAAUUCCUGGUGUAGCGGUGAAAUGCGUAGAUAUCAGGAGGAACACCGGUGGCGAAGGCGUCCCUCUGGACGGUGACUGACGCUGAGACGCGAAAGCGUGGGGAGCAAACAGGAUUAGAUACCCUGGUAGUCCACGCUGUAAACGAUGAGCACUAGGUGUCGUGGGUAUUGACCCCCGCGGUGCCGUAGCUAACGCAUUAAG